rnacentral:rRNA from 1 species
GGGGCCUGGAAGGGUCCCUCGCAGAAAGGGACCUCAGGGGGUUAUCGCCUGGGGUCCGCCCGAGGAUGGGGCCACGGCCCAUCAUGGUAGUUGGCGGGGUAAUGGCCCGCCAAGCCGACGACGGGUAGGGGCCGUGGGAGCGGGAGCCCCCAGAUGGGCCCUGAGACAAGGGCCCAGGCCCUACGGGGCGCACCAGGCGCGAAACCUCCGCAAUGCGGGAAACCGUGACGGGGUCACCCCGAGUGCCCUCGUAAGGGGGCUUUUCCCCGCUGCAAGGAGGCGGGGGAAUAAGCGGGGGGCAAGUCCGGUGUCAGCCGCCGCGGUAAUACCAGCCCCGCGAGUGGUCGGGACUCUUGUUGGGCCUAAAGCGCCCGUAGCCGGCCCGGUAAGUCCCUCCUUAAAGCCCCGGGCUCAACCCGGGGAGCGGGGGGAUACUGCCGGGCUAGGGGGCGGGAGAGGCCGGGGUACCCCAGGGUAGGGGCGAAAUCCGAUAAUCCCUGGGGGACCACCAGUGGCGAAGGCGCCCGGCUGGAACGCGCCCGACGGUGAGGGGCGAAAGCCGGGGGAGCGAACCGGAUUAGAUACCCGGGUAGUCCCGGCUGUAAACUAUGCGGGCCAGGUGUCGGGCGGGCGUUAGAGCCCGCCCGGUGCCGCAGGGAAGCCGUUAAGCCCGCCGCCUGGGGAGUACGGCCGCAAGGCUGAAACUUAAAGGAAUUGGCGGGGGGGCACACAAGGGGUGGAGCCUGCGGCUCAAUUGGAGUCAACGCCGGGAACCUCUACCGGGGGCGACAGCAGGAUGACGGCCAGGCUAACGACCUUGCCCGACGCGCUGAGGGGAGGUGCAUGGCCGUCGCCAGCUCGUGCUGUGAAGUGUCCCGUUAAGUCAGGCAACGAGCGAGACCCCCGCCCCUAGUUGCGACCCUGCGGGCGACCGCGGGGGCACACUAGGGGGACUGCCGCCGCUAAGGCGGAGGAAGGAGGGGGCCACGGCAGGUCAGCAUGCCCCUAAACCCCCGGGCUGCACGCGGGCUACAAUGGCGGGGACAGCGGGAUCCGACC